GUUUUUCUUCUUCUAUUGAAAUGAUUAUAUUUUUCUUCUUUAAUCUAUUAAUGAAUGACAUUGAUGAGUUUUUUAUGUUAAACCAGUUUUAUAUUCCAGGGGUAAACUCUACCAUUUAAUUCUUUUUUGCUCAAUUCUGUUUAUUAAUUUUAUUUAUUUAGGAUUUUUAAAUCUGUGUUCCUAGGUAAAAUUGACCUACAGAUUUCCAUCAUCUACAUCUAGUUUUACUAUCAAGUUUACAUUAGGUUCAUAAAAUUAUUUGGGAAGCAUUCUGUCUUUUUUCUGUAAUACUUUGUGGUGGGAAUUAUCUUUUUUUUUUUUGAAAGUUUGAUAAAACUUGCCUGUAAAACCCAAGUGGACCUGGUGUUUAUUUUUAUUGGGAGGGAGGUGGAAGGAGGACUUAAAAUUCUAAUUUCUAAUUUAAUUUAAUAAAUGGUUGUAGAUCUAUUCAUGUUUUCUAUUCAUGAGUCAGCUUCGGCAAGUUAUAUUUUAUAUAAAAUUGUCCAUUAUGUCUCUCUUUUCAAAGUUAUCAAUGUAAAGUUCUGCACAAUUCUUCACAGUUGUCUAUUUUCCAUUUCUAAUAUUAUUUAUUUGUAAUUUUUCUUUUUUCUUGAUCAAUCUUGCUGAAGAUUUGCUAUUAUAGUGGUUCUUUCAAAGAACAAGCUUUCACUGUUGUUGAACAUUUUUAUGUCUUUCAUUUCUAUUUUAUUUGUUUAUUUAUUUAUUUGAGGAAGAUUAGCCCUGAGCUAACAUCUGCCACCAAUCCUCCUCUUCUUGCUGAGGAACGCUGGCCCUGAGCUAACAUGCAUGCCCAUCUUCUUCUACUUUAUAUGUAGGAUGCCUACCACAGCAUGGCUUGCCAAGCAGUGCCAUGUCUGCACCCGGCAUCUGAACCGGCAACCCGGGCCGCUGAAAUGUGUGAACUUAACCGCUGCACCCCCGGGCUGACCCCUAUUUCAUUUAUUUUUUAUCUCAUCUCACUCCUUCCUCUUACUUUCUUUAGGCUUACUCUUUUUUUUUUAACUUACUGAGUUAGACACUUAGUUUAAUUUCACUAUUUCUUUUUUCUCUAAUAUAUACAUCUAAAACUAUACAUUUUCAUGUAAGUAAUACUGUGCUGGAUUUAAAGUUAUGUCCACAAAAUUCUUUGAUACUUUUCUCUUUGAAUGGUAGAGCUUAAUUCCUUUCCCCUUGGCUAUGGACUUAGGGACUCAUUGCCAAUAAAUAGACCGCUGUGGAAGUGAUGGUGUGUGAGCUUGGAAUUGGAUGGUCCAGCUUCAGAUAACUGCAGCUCCAGCUGACAUCUUGAAUGCACCUCGUGAGAGACCUUGAGCCAGAACCACUCAGCUAAGUUGCUCUGAGAUUCCUGACCCACAGACACUCUGAGAUAAUAAAUGUUUGUUAACUUAAGCUGACACCUCAUCAGAACCAGCAGGAGACAGCAUCACCCCGUGUCUGAUAUUCCUGUUGCCAGCAGCUGCAAUUAGGAUGUAGGAGAGCCAACAUUCCCAAGACUCAGCACAAGAAUUCUACUAGUUAACAGCAGGAGGAAAGAGCAGGAUGAGAAGCGCAAAAACUUACCCAUGGAAGAAGAAAAUGGAAGAAAAUGUUAAACAAAUAGAAUGUGGGGCAUGUAAUGUUUUGCUUUGACAGUGAUAUUGAUCUUUUGCUUUUGCACCUGAGUCUUGGUCCCUUUUUUUACAUGUUCCGUGAGCGCUCAAAAGACUGCAUUGCUCUUAAGUUCAAGGCUGUAUGUAUGCCCAUUAGGUGAACUUUAUUUUGUUACUCAAAUAUGCUAUAUCGUUAUUAGAAGAAUGUUAUUUUAUGGUUCAAAUGUUCUAUAUCCUUCUGAAUAUUUUGUCUUUAAGUGUCAAUGAGUGAGAGAAAUAUGUUUAAAAAUCUGCUACUAUGAUUGUUGAUUUACCACGUUCUUUUUGUAAUUCUAACGAUGUUAAAUGUUAAAUGUAUUAGAGCUUAGAACUGUUACAGUUUCCAGAUAAAUUGUUCCUUUUAACCAGAAUGUAGUGUCCCUUUUUCUAUAACCUAAUAAUACUUCUUGCAUUAAAGUUUAUUUUCUCAGAUAUUGACAUAGUUACAUCAACUUUCCCUUUAUCGCUAACUGCUAUAUCGUUUUUAAUCUUUCAGUGCCAUUGUUUUAUUAGUUCUUUUGUAAACAGCAUAGCUGGAUUAUUUUUCCCAGUCUAGGAGCCUGUCUUUUGGCAAAUAUGAGUUAUUCUUCUUAUGUUUAUUGUAAUUAUUGAUAGAUCAAUUAAUUUCUAUUAUAUUAUUUUAUGAUUUCUAUUUAUCAUUCUUUUUCUACACUUCUUUUCGUUUUCUUUUUUCUAUUCUUUGUUGGCUUGAUUAAACUUUCUUUACUCCAUUGUUUCUCCUCUCCUGGCCCGGAAUUUACAUAUACUCUUUUGGUUUACCCAUAACAUUUUACAUGCAUACUUGAAUUGACAAAAUAUAAAGUUUGCCAGUGUCCGUCCAUGCUCCCAAACAAUACAAGACUUUGGAAUGCUUUAAUUUGAAGCACCUCUUUAUCUAUGUGAUAUUAUUAUUCAUAGCUUUGUUCCAUGUUUGUGUUGUUUCGUUUUUCGCUGUUAGAACAGUGCUGCUAGGAAUAUUUCUGUAUUUCUCCUCAUAUGCAUGUGCAAGAGUUUCUCCAGAAUAUACACAGGGGUGAAAUUGUGGGUCAUAUGUAGCGUGGUGUGUUUUCAGCUUUACCAGAUAACGCCAAACUGCUUUUGAAAACAUUUGUACCAAUUCACACUCCCAUUGGGGGUGUAUGAACUCUCUCAUUGUGCUUCAUUCGUGGUAAUGUCAGUCUUGUAAAUUUCUGCCAGUCUGGUUCAUAGGAAUAGAUUCUCGCUAUGGUUAUCAUUUACAUGUCCCUGGUCGCCAAGGAGAGUUUGGCCAUCUUUAUACAGGGUGACUUUAUACAGGUGGCACCACCUCUCAGUGGUGCCAGCUCAAGUCUUUCAUUCAUUUUUCUUUCAGGUUGUCUCUUACAUGUUGAUCUGCAGUUCUUUGUAUUUUCUGGGUUCUAGUCUAUUGUCAGUUACUUAUAUUGCCAGUAUCUUUCCCCAGUUUGUGACUUGUCUUUUCACUCUCUUUUUGGUGUCUUCUAAUCAGAAGUUCUGAACUUGAAUGCUGGAGAAUUUAUCUAUCUAUAUCUUUGUGAUGCCAGCAGAGUCUCCCGUGGUGGACAGGUUUCAGUGGCGCUUCCAGACCAAGGCAGACUAGGAAGAAGGACCUAGCCACCCACUUCUGAAAAAAUUGGCCAUGAAAUCUCUAGGAAUAGCAGUGGAACAUUGUCUGAUAUAGUACAGGAAGGUGAGAGGAUGGCACAAAAAUACCGGACAGGGUUCCGCUCUGCUGUCCACACAGGCACUAGGAGUCAGAAUCAACUUGACAGCACUAACAACAAAACAGAGUGAAUGGUUUAUAUUUGCUCACAUGCUUACCAGUUUCUUUGCUUAUGGCUGCUUCUUGAAUCCCCCUGCUUCCUUCUGGAUUUAAUUUCCCUCUUCCUGAGACAGAAAUGUUAGUAGAUCUCUCAGAUUUGUGAUAAACUCCCUUUUUUUCUCUGUGAAUUUCAUUUCAUCCUCAUUCUGGAGCUGUAGUUUAGCUGAGAAUGGAAAUUUAGUUGAACGGUAAUGUUUUUAGAAGUUUGAAGGACUGUUUCACUGCUCUCCGUUGUUGCUGGUGAGAAGUCUAUGGGCAGUUGAAUUAUUCCUUGGGAGGUAAUCAUCUUCUCCCUCUGGCUUUUCAGAUUUUCCUCUUCAUCUCUAUUUUGUUCAAUUUCUGUGUCUAGGGGUAGAUUCAUCAUUAUUUAUCAUGUUCAGGUCUUGUGUUUCUUGAAUCUAUGCAAGGUACCUCUUAUUAGUUCUGGAAAAUUCAGUCAGUGUCUCUUAAAAUAUUAUUUCUCCCAAUUUUCUCUCUUCUUUCCACCUAGAACUCAUAAAAGUCAGAUUUUGGAUCUUCACCUUCCAUUCUCCAAAUCUCUUAACUUUUCUCCUAUUUUCCCUCUCCUUGUUUCUCUGAGCUGCAUUUUGGUUCAUUUCCUCAGAGUUCAUAAAUUCUCUCUGUAUCUACAUUUAAUCUAUUGUUUAAUCAAGUCAAUAAGACUUUAUUUUCAUUCAUCAUAUUUUUAUGUCUAGAAGUUCUACUUGGUUCUUCACACCAGAUUUUCAUGUUCUUUUCUUUCAUUUUAGUCCUUUAAUAAUUUAAAAAUACCCAUUUUUAGUCUCUCUUAGCUUGUUCUGUAGCUGACGUUCUUGGGGUUGUACCCCUCCAGUUUGUGUCUUCUGAUGGGGGAGGGGAGUUCUUUCUUCACGUGGUUUUAAUAACUUGCUUUGAGCUCAUCUUCAGCGGGGCUUUCUGAGGGCAUUCUGAGCAGCCCAGGAAUAGUAGCUGUCCAAUACCAAUUUUAUCUUUAUUUUUUGGCUUGGGAGUUCCUUCCCCACAAACCAAAACACUAUCCAUGCACUAGGCCAGGGCCUCUGUUUCUCAGAAGGAUUCCCAGGAAAAGCUCCCCUUCCCUUUCCUGUGCCACCAGGUGGUUUCCCCCCAAUUUAUCCUUUGUCAAACUGUCCCUCACAGGGACUCGGUUUUAUGCUCGUCUCAGUUGUGACUCCCUGCCCGUUGUUGGUCCAAGGCUUCAUCUGCUGACCUUUCAAGGAUGUUAAACCUAUUCCCUGAGGCCUGGAGUCUGGAGUAAAGGAGGUGUCACGCUCCAGCCACCGCAGCCUCAACUCUCACAGCCUCUCUGAAUUUACAUAGUAAAAACAAAAUUCCUCAAGCGUGCCAGUGUACUCAUCUGUUUUCUUGUGAAACUGCGAAAACAAAUUCUGGCCAAGCACUUAACCUGUCAUGCCACCGGCAGAAACAUACUAUUGUUGUUUUUAACACGGUAGUUAGCUUACAAUAUGGUGAGGCUCAGGAUGAGCUAUGCUCAUCAGCCUUAAAUUUAAGUCAAGAUAAAAAUUUCAAAAAUUCCUGUAGCAAAUCUGCAGUGCUCUAUGAAUUUGCGUCAGAAGCUGGCACAACAAGGAAGCUGAUGUGACCCUGGUGCAUGCUCUACCAUGAGAGAAUGAGACCUUCGAGGAAGACACAGCACCUGAUAACUCUUGACCUUCCUGAAAAAAAGAGAUUGCCUUUCCCCCUCUAGGUCUCAUUUAUUGGAGGAAAUAUCCAUUUUCUCAUUACUUAAAUUUUCUGUGUUUUUGUUGCCUUAUCUAUAAAAUGGACAUCCUCAGAUGUCUUUCUAAAGAGAGAGCCUGGGUCUGAUCAUCCCUUGAGGCUCUUCCCAGCUCCAAGAUUCUAGCAUCAUCAGCAUCAUCCUUGAUGCUCACAUUGUGCCAGGUCCUGUGCCCAGCACUUUUACACGUAUUGUCUCAUUUACUCCUUAUAACAAUCCUAGGGUGGGUGCUUGUUCCCAGUUUUCAGACCAGGUGUCUAGAAGCUCAGGGAGAUUAAGCAAACCUCCCUAAGAUCACACAACUAAAACAUGAGUCAGAAUUUGAAUCAGCGUCUUCCUAUUUCUGGAGCCCAUGGUUUUCACUGAGUACAAAGGUAUGAGGUCGUUGCUUCCCGAGAGACCUAGAAGAAAGUAUAUGAAAUUGGCCCCCAGUCCCCAGAAACAAGGCGAUACUUAGAGAGUAGAAGCAGCAUUCACUCUUCACUCUCUUAGAUGGACAGCCCCAUGAGGACAGGAGUUAAGUCACAAGAUCUCCUAGUUAGAAGAGAUCCUAUAUGAAGAGGCCCCAGGCAGAUGAGAUGAGUUUCCCAAGGUCAAAGUCGUUGGCUGAGCCAAGCCCAGAGUGGGAGGCCUUCACAUCCCCAGGGCUGACUUGUUUGCAUUCACUGUUACUUCUGCAUGGUUCUUAGGGCCACUCACCAGUCUCAGAAUCUCUAUACAAAGAGACUUCUGUGAGGGGAUGAUACUGGUGGCAAUGGCUUUAUUGUCAUGAUGAAGAUAAUUAGCUCUUGUGUCUUUCUAAUGGGG
rnacentral:lncRNA from 1 species